rnacentral:rRNA from 1 species
GACGAACGCUGGCGGCGUGCUUAACACAUGCAAGUCGAACGGAAAGGCCCUGCUUUUGUGGGGUGCUCGAGUGGCGAACGGGUGAGUAACACGUGAGUAACCUGCCCUUGACUUUGGGAUAACUUCAGGAAACUGGGGCUAAUACCGGAUAGGAGCUCCUGCUGCAUGGUGGGGGUUGGAAAGUUUCGGCGGUUGGGGAUGGACUCGCGGCUUAUCAGCUUGUUGGUGGGGUAGUGGCUUACCAAGGCUUUGACGGGUAGCCGGCCUGAGAGGGUGACCGGCCACAUUGGGACUGAGAUACGGCACAGACUCCUACGGGAGGCAGCAGUGGGGAAUAUUGCACAAUGGGCGGAAGCCUGAUGCAGCAACGCCGCGUGCGGGAUGACGGCCUUCGGGUUGUACACCGCUUUCGCCUGUGACGAAGCGUGAGUGACGGUAAUGGGUAAAGAAGCACCGGCUAACUACGUG